rnacentral:rRNA from 1 species
UACAGAGGAUGCAAGCGUUAUCCGGAAUGAUUGGGCGUAAAGCGUCUGUAGGUGGCUUUUUAAGUCCGCCGUCAAAUCCCAGGGCUCAACUCUGGACAGGCGGUGGAAACUACCAAGCUGGAGUACGGUAGGGGCAGAGGGAAUUUCCGGUGGAGCGGUGAAAUGCGUAGAGAUCGGAAAGAACACCGAUGGCGAAGGCACUUUACUGGGCUAUUACUAACACUGAGAGACGAAAGCUAGGGUAGCAAAUGGG